rnacentral:misc_RNA from 1 species
GGAAGUAAAAGUCGUAACAAAGUUUCCGUAGGUGAACCUGCGGAAGGAUCAUUAUUGUAUAACCGAGGUGCGAGGGCUGUCGCUGACCCGACAGGUCGUGCACGCCCGAGUGCCCUCACACACAUCCAUCUCACCCCUAUGUGCACCACCGCGUGGGUCCCCCUUUGGCUUGUUCGGAGGGGGGCUUACGUUUUCACACAAACUUUGUAUGCAGUGUAGAAUGUAUUUUUUGUUUUUGCGAUCACGCAAUCAAUACAACUUUCAACAACGGAUCUCUUGGCUCUC